UACGUAGGGGGCGAGCGUUGUCCGGAUUCAUUGGGCGUAAAGCGCGCGUAGGCGGCUUGGCAAGUCGGCCGUGAAAUCUCCAGGCUCAACUUGGAGGGGUCGGGCGAGACUGCUGGGCUCGAGGUGGGCAGAGGGCAGUGGAAUUCCGGGUGUAGUGGUGGAAUGCGUAGAGAUCCGGAGGAACACCAGUGGCGAAGGCGGCUGCCUGGGCCUGGCCUGACGCUGAGGCGCGACAGCGUGGGGAGCAAACAGG
rnacentral:rRNA from 1 species